ACUGAAUAAUUCGAACCAACUGGUCACGGGGCUGGUGUUUCGGCAUAAUUAGCUGACUUGGGUUGUUCGCUGUAACGGAGAAACAGCGGCAGAGUAAGCCGCAAGAGGAGGAGAUGAUAGCAUUCAAGCCCUGCCACCACUAACGAGCAUCCUUCAGUAAUUCAAGCUGGUAUGGAAUUUCCACUUCACAUCUAAGAUGGCCACACAUUACAAUGUUGGUGUGCAGAAGAGCGUCAGUGAAUACACAGUCCGUCAAAUCUUGAAAUUGAUGGCUACAGCAGCAAAAGAUCACGACACACACUCGGUGGCCGCUUUAUAAGAUGUAGGAGCUAUCUAAUAGAGUGGCCACUGCAGGUUUAAUGCAGCCACAGGAAAUGGCCAGAAAACCUCAGCCAGCAACUUUUUUAAAGCAUGACCAAUGUAAUAUCUGCUUUCAACAAAAUUAAAGCUCAGCCAAUUAAAUAGCAAAAUAUUUCACCAGUUUUGCUAAGAUUAUAAUGAAGCGUUUGAACAUUUCUUCACACUGAACUGUGUUGGCUGUCAAAAGGCUGCUGCUUAAAAUGUUACUUUGAUCUUUUUGACUCCGUGGUUGAAUUUCUGCUCAAAGUCGACUAGAAUUUGGGAAACAAGAUUGUACUUCUACGUGGAGAUGGGGCAUACCUAGCUGAUCUGUAUGACAAAAUGAACAUUCUAAAUAUGAAACUGCUGGGUGAGAAUUUCAAUUUAAUCUCAGCAAAAAGUGCAGUGUCCACUUCUAUCAGAAAAUUGGAAAUAUAUAAGCAAAACAUUGGGAGAAUGAUGUUCCCAUGGUUUCCCUGCAUGGAAUGUAUGGCACUCUCUUUCACAGAAGGUGAUUUGCAAGAGUACUACUUACACCUGCAGUUAGUGAGGAAGGAUUUUCGGAAUCGAUUCAAGGAUUUGAACGAUCUGAAAAUUCUGGACUGGGUAAUUAACCCAUUUCUUUGUAAGGUGGAAGAACAGGAAAAGAGAUUGCAAGAAGAAAUUAUCAAAAUUCAGAAUGAUGAAGAAGCAAAAAUGCUUUUCAAAAAUGUCAGCUUUGGUGAAAUGUGACUACACUGUCAUAUGAAGUUAUCUGGUCUGCGGAGAAGAGCCAAACUGCUCUUCAUUGCAUUUCCAUCCUCCUGCCUUGUUGAAAGAGGCUUCAGUGCAGUGAACCACAGUCUCAUGAAAAACAGAAACCGCUUGGACAUUGUUACACGUGGGGACUUGAGGCUUUUGCUGUCACAACUUGAACCAGAUAUUUCAACUCUUGCUAAAAGCCAUCAAGCUUAAGGGCCACACUGAC